UCUCUCCCUUAUUGUAGCCUUGAAUAAAGGCUUUGCCUUUCAAACUCUGUCCUGCCCAUUUUUCUUUGACAUGUUCAGAUGUUGGCAAGGCUGAAAACUGCAGGGGAUCUGGUUGUGAUAAUCCAGGUACAUGCCCCAAGGAAAUGAGGCUACAUGAGGACACAGCAAGAAGGUGGCUGUCUGCAAGCCAGAAAGAGAGCCCUCCCCAGAGACUGAACCAGCUAGAACCAUGAUCUUGGACUUCCAGCCUCCAGAACUGUUAUUCUAGGUCGACUUCCGUGUCUGGAUGUAACCAAAUCACCAGCCAGACCGUGACCAGGACACAUCAUACCGCUUGCCCCCGGCAGAGAUCCUGUGCCCACAUGUGAUAAGCUCCCAGGAGACCACAAGCUACUUGGAGGUAGGACCAAGUGGUGUACAUAACGACCAGACAGCCACAAAGAGUCCCUUGCUCAGACAGGUGUUCAGCAACUCUUCCCAGAGCAAAACAUGCCUGUCUUGCCCACUGCGGAGUAACUGCAAGGCAGCGCACUGCUCCUCUGGGGUCUCAGACCCAAUGGCAGCCUUACAAGAAUAAACUCAAGCUGUUUUAAAAAAUAUUUUUAAACAGCAAACCUCUCCUCUCUAAAUGACAUUUAAUUGCUUCAAAGAUCAAGAGAAGGCAACUUCUUUGUGGCUGGGCGUGCAAACAACCUGCGUUCUUCAGGGCUCUGGGUAUGGGUUACAAGAUUCAUCGUGACUCAAUUCUCCAAUCCACUGAGUUUUGGAGGACACAGGCAGUGUGUCACUGCAGAUGGACUGCCAACCCCCAAUUAAACUGUUCUGGAUGGCUACUGGUGGUGACCUUCAGGUGACAUUGGUCAAGCCUCAAAGGAGUGUGGCCACCCAACCCUAGCAGAGUUUGAGUGUGCCAGGUGCUCAUUACUGAACCCACUUCUCAGUCUACAUCAAACAACCAUGCUGGCCAGAAAUGGUGUGCUGAGUUCUGACGAUACAGAAACACCACACUACUGAUGAUACAGGUGCAUACAUGAAACCUCCUGGUGGCAGGAAGACUCGUUCCUGAGGGCCUGAUGGCUCCCACACCGAGGAAUGCUCUGCCAGAGGCCAGUCCAUUUCAGGCACAGUUAUAACCCACUCCAUAAAGGUUGUGCCAGGGAGAAAAUUAUGACAGGACCUUGCUUGAAAGAAGAGGCAGUCACAAGGCCCCAUGGGGCUUACCUUCCAGGAUGGACUGGCCCUGGGUUUGGGAUUGCAUCAAUUUCAUUUCUGGCUCUCAUGAGUCGGAUUCCCUCUUUUCUCAGAGUAUGGAAGCCAGUGGAGCGUGGCAAAGGUGUCUGGCACCCUGUCUUUGCUGCUUCCUGUGAAAACGAGAUGGUCUGCCUGAAAUGAUACAUUGGCUGUUUCAUUUCUGGGCUCCCCUUGUGUCUUUUUUUUUUAAAGACAGAGACGGGGUCUCACUAUGUUGCCCAGGCUGUCCUCGAACUCCUACGCUCAAGGAAUCUUCCUGCCUCAGCCUCCCAAAGAGCAGGAUUAUGAACGUGAGCCAUUACGCCCAACUUCCCCUAAUCUCUUGUGCUUGGCAUAAUGCUGGUAUGCAGUAGGUGCUCAAUAAAUGCUGACUUGGGUG
rnacentral:lncRNA from 10 species